rnacentral:rRNA from 1 species
GAUGAACGCUGGCGGCGUGCCUAAUACAUGCAAGUCGAGCGAACGGACGAGAAGCUUGCUUUUCUGAUGUUAGCGGCGGACGGGUGAGUAACACGUGGAUAACCUACCUAUAAGACUGGGAUAACUUCGGGAAACCGGAGCUAAUACCGGAUAAUAUUUUGAACCGCAUGGUUCAAAAGUGAAAGACGGUCUUGCUGUCACUUAUAGAUGGAUCCGCGCUGCAUUAGCUAGUUGGUAAGGUAACGGCUUACCAAGGCAACGAUGCAUAGCCGACCUGAUAGGGUGAUCGGCCACAUUGGAACUGAGACACGGUCCAGACUACUACGGGAGGCAGCAGUAGGGAAUCGUCCGCAAUGGGCGAAAGCCUGACGGAGCAACGCCGCGUGAGUGAUGAAGGUCUUCGGAUCGUAAAACUCGGUUAUUAGGUAAGAACAUAUGUGUAAGUAACUGUGCACAUCGUGACGGUACCUAAUCAGAAAGCCACGGCUAACUACGUG